rnacentral:rRNA from 1 species
UUGAACGCUGGCGGAAUGCUUUACACAUGCAAGUCGAGCGGCAGCGCGGGGGCAACCCUGGCGGCGAGCGGCGAACGGGUGAGUAAUGUAUCGGAACGUACCCUGUCGUGGGGGAUAACACAGCGAAAGCUGUGCUAAUACCGCAUACGACCUGAGGGUGAAAGCGGGGGAUCGCAAGACCUCGCGCGAUAGGAGCGGCCGAUAUCGGAUUAGCUUGUUGGUGAGGUAAAGGCUCACCAAGGCGACGAUCCGUAGCUGGGCUGAGAGGACGACCAGCCACACUGGAACUGAGACACGGGCCAGACUCCUACGGGAGGCAGCAGUGGGGAAUUUUGGACAAUGGGGGCAACCCUGAUCCAGCCAUUCCGCGUGAGUGAAGAAGGCCUUCGGGUUGUAAAGCUCUUUCAGCAUGAACGAAACGGUGGCUACUAAUACUAGCUACUAAUGACGGUACCUGAAGAAGAAGCACCGGCCAACUACGU